rnacentral:rRNA from 1 species
CGUGUAGGCGGAGGUGCAAGUUGGGAGUGAAAUCCCGGGGCUCAACCCCGGAACUGCAUUCUAAACUGUGUGACUAGAGUAUUGCAGGGGGAGACGGAAUUUCAGGUGUAGCGGUGGAAUGCGUAGAUAUCUGAAAGAACACCAAAGGCGAAGGCAGUCUCCUGGGCAAAUACUGACGCUCAUAUGCGAAAGCGUGGGUGCAAACA